GCGCGGCCCGACAGGCGGCGGCGUCACCUAGCUCGGCGAGCCGCCGGCAUAGCCGGCCUGCAGGCCCCUGGCCUGGUUUGCACUGUGCUUCGGAGGCUUCUCGGUGCUCCAUCCCGGACCUUGAACGCCGGUCGGGACUGCCAACCCUCUUAGUCCUCACCCCCAACUACUCAGGAGACGGAAGGGGUCGGAGGGUGGCGUGCUUGCCCUGCUCUCGCUACGUUUAUGCACUUGAAGGGAAAGUAUCCCAGCACGUCCUUCUGCCCCGGACUCCUUUUCAAGCAUCCCUGCCUAGACCUUCUCUGGAGCGACAAAAGGCCUGGGAAGGAAACCUGAACGCAGAGAUGCUCCUGGGAACAGGCCGACUUGAGUGAUGCCCCCCUAGUAGGCUCCAUUCAAGCCUUAAAGUUUACCGUUUCUGUGUGUCAUCCUGUAUGAUUUGUUGUGCCGGUAAACUGCAGCCAGAGAUUGAUUCACAGAUGCACAGCCUAAAGCAUGUUAGGAAUCCAGCAGGGUGUGUGUGGCUCACCUCUAAUCCCAAGGUUUGGAAAGCUGAGGUUGCGAAGUCUGGAAAACUGGAAUGUAAAGUCGAAGCCUACCUUGUCUUAUAGAGCUGUUCUUCAGAGCACUCCUAGAAAACAGCCAUCUGAUGCCGGGGGAAACAGUGGUUUUCCUGUGACCUGCCAAAGGCAGAGCUGGGAUCUGAUGGAAAGCAGGGGCUCCGGGACCUCAGACAUAACCCAGGGUCCAAAGGUCGCUGACUGGGCUCACCUCCACUCGUCUUUCCCCAUCAGCAGUGUGUGGGUUUCCUGUGCGCAUUUCCCACCGGUCACUCUCAGGCCUUGAGGCUGCUUCCUCCUGUCAGUCUAUCCUGCCACCAGUGAACAUGCUUGAGCUAAAAGAGGAGCAUCAGUGCUUCUGGACAAGAGCUGUGGCCAUGACGCUUGUCCACGUCAGUUCUAGAGCAGUGGCCCUUGGCUCCUCACAGCUACAGAGUGAGGGAAAGUGCGCGUAGAGGGCGUCGUCUCUGGCAUCCAGUUAUAAAACAUCAAGGGAUCCUGUCAGAAUCCUGGAUUUCUUCCAUAGUGUCAGACUCCUGUGUCUUAAAAAAGCAUUCCCAACAGUAUCUCUAGUACAUCAGACUAAACCGGAGUGAAGCCACUGCAGCCCGGCUCCUACGGCUCCUCUAGGAAACCCCGUGUGUACUGCUCACUUCCUCACUGCUCACUGCAGGCGUCUCACUCCAGACCUAAGAACUCGGUCCUACGGCCUUGCUGCAGUACAAUUGACAUCCGGCAAACUAAGUUUAAAGUGUACAGAUUGCCCCGAGUUAACACUGCAGUUGCCACUGUCAAUGCAUGUCACCCUCAAGUCUCCCUUCACCUGAUUUAAAGUGACAUAGAACAUGCUGUUUAGAGAUAGACAGUCCAGUCCCUUUCAGCACGUGUUUUGAAAAUUGUUUAUGUGUCGAUGUAAGGUCAUCCCACUUUGGUACACAUAGCUGCAAACCUUUUCUGACUGUUCUUCACUGCAGACCCCGCAAACCAAACUCAGCCAUCUCCACCCAGCCUCCCAGUACCACUGUGGCCAGUUACACCACAGUUAACCCCUGGGCUCGCUCAGGCCACCUCUGUCUGCCAGCCACAGAGGGCAGGUACGUUCCUCUUCCCAGGCCUGGCACCUGCGGCACAUACAGUGAGCUAACAAGCCUCGUGUGCUUAGAGGCAGCCCUGCCCAGUCACAGUAUUACGUACAGUGCUGUGCUCUGUUUGCAAAACCAUUAAUGACUUCAGGCUUGAAGGAAGCUGGCUCUCACGCCUUUCCCCUGGCGUGUCUGCUCUCGUGUCAGGAUGACGACGGCAUCCCCAAACACUGGGAAACAUUCCCGGGAUUUUCACACACAGUUUCCAGUCUCACACUUGUGUAAGAUACCUGCUGAUCUAUUUUUACGAAUGUCUUGAAUUAUAAAUUCAAUUUCAAAAGU
rnacentral:lncRNA from 1 species